rnacentral:rRNA from 1 species
UACAGGGGGUGCAAACGUUGCUCGGAAUUAUUGGGCGUAAAGCGCGCGUAGGCGGCUACUUAAGUCGGAUGUGAAAGCCCCUGGCUCAACUGGGGAAGUGCACCCGAAACUGAGUGGCUUGAGUACUAAAGAGGGUCGCGGAAUUCCCGGUGUAGAGGUGAAAUUCGUAGAUAUCGGGAGGAACACCGGUGGCGAAGGCGGCGACCUGGGUAGAUACUGACGCUGAGGCGCGAAAGCGUGGGGAGCGAACAGG